GACGAACGCUGGCGGCGUGCUUAACACAUGCAAGUCGAACGCUGAAGCUCAGCUUUUGUUGGGUGGAUGAGUGGCGAACGGGUGAGUAACACGUGAUUAACCUGCCUCCUUCUUUGGGAUAACGCCCGGAAACGGGUGCUAAUACUGGAUAUUCACUGGUCUUCGCAUGGGGGUUGGUGGAAAGGGUUUUUCUGGUGGGGGAUGGGCUCGCGGCCUAUCAGCUUGUUGGUGGGGUGAUGGCCUACCAAGGCUUUGACGGGUAGCCGGCCUGAGAGGGUUAACGGUCACAUUGGGACUGAGAUACGGCCCAGACUCCUGCGGGAGGCAGCAGUGGGGAAUAAUGGACAAUGGGCGAAAGACUGAUGCAGCGACGCAGCGUGAGGGAUGGAGGCCUUCGGGUUGUGAACCUCUUUCGCUAAUGGUCAAGCCGCAACAAUGGUUGUGGUGAGGGUAGUGGGUAAAGAAGCGCCGGCUAACUACGUG
rnacentral:rRNA from 1 species